rnacentral:rRNA from 1 species
CCUACGGGAGGCAGCAGUGAGGAAUAUUGGUCAAUGGGCGGGAGCCUGAACCAGCCAAGCCGCGUGAGGGAAGAAGGUACAGCGUAUCGUAAACCUCUUUUGUCAGGGAACAAAGGCGGGGACUCGUCCCCGGCUGAGGGUACCUGAAGAAAAAGCAUCGGCUAACUCCGUGCCAGCAGCCGCGGUAAUACGGAGGAUGCGAGCGUUAUCCGGAUUUCUUGGGUUUAAAGGGUGCGCAGGCGGCCUGUUAAGUCAGCGGUAAAAGCCCGGGGCUCAACCCCGGCGAGCCGUUGAAACUGGCGGGCUGGAGUUGGAGAGAAGUACGCGGAAUGCGCGGUGUAGGAGUGAAAUCCGUAGAUAUCUGGAGGAACAUCAGUGGCGAAGGCGACUAUCUGGCACAUAACUGACGCUGAGGAGCGAAAGCGUGGGUAGCAAACAGGAUUAGAUACCCUUGUAGUC